rnacentral:misc_RNA from 1 species
GAAAUGCGAUAAGUAAUGUGAAUUGCAGAAUUCAGUGAAUCAUCGAAUCUUUGAACGCAUAUUGCGCCCGCCAGUAUUCUGGCGGGCAUGCCUGUCCGAGCGUCAUUUCAACCAUCAAGCCCCCGGGCUUGUGUUGGGGACCUGCGGCUGCCCGCAGGCCCUGAAAACCAGUGGCGGGCUCGCUGUCACACCGAGCGUAGUAGCAAUCACCUCGCUCAGGGCGUGCUGCGGGUUCCGGCCGUUAAACAGCCUUACAAAACCCAAGGUUGACCUCGGAUCAGGUAGGAAGACCCGCUGAUCUUAAGC